UACGGACUUAAAAUCCGUUGGCUUUUUAGACCGUGAGGGUUCAAGUCCCUCUACCCCCA
rnacentral:tRNA from 3 species